GCCCCUUCCAGACCGUCACCUGGGCCGGGUCCCGGGGCGACUCGCGUGCGGGCGGCGGCGGCGCCGGGCCGGGAGAGGCGGCGGUGGCUACGGGCGCCUGGUCAUCCGACCUGGUUCGAGGGCGGGCGCCAGCCAGAGCCGCGGCGCGAGAUGCUCGCGGGAGCCGGGACGUCGCGGGCUCCGGGCCGCUUGAAGGAGCAGUCGCCGAGGCUUCGCCGCCGCCGCCGCCGCCGCCGCCGCGCCCGCCCGGACUGCGGGCUCCGGUUACCGCAGCGCGGCUCCUUAAAGGGGCCGCGGCCGCUCGAGCUCCGGCUCGCGUUCGCGGCUCCGACCCUGGCCAAAGUGGGCGGGGCCCACCUCCGGGCGCCGAAUUUAGGUCCGGGGCAGGGCUCGAAACCCCGGCACCCGAAGUGGGCUGCGAUAGGAUCCUGGAAGAUCACACGUCGCCGGGGGCACAGCACGUGGCUCCUGAUCUUUCCAAAGCAAGACACACAACUCGGGAGUGGGGAGAAGUGGCUUGCAAGUGCUUCCCAAACUGGGUAGGAGGUGUGUCCGGUUCAAGCAGCCUCCUCCGGAACCGCUGAAAAACACCCUAAAGGAUGCCCUCCGGAACCCCUCUGCUUUCGGGUGUGGAAGUAGAAUUUGAAUUUUUGAUGCUGGCUGAGAAUAUCAAGUUGCCCCGUGCAUAAAUUUUGCCAUUAAGUAGAUCUUCUGAGGUGUAUAUAGCCUCAAAACUUCCAAGUGUUCUGGAUCAACCAGACAGAACUGGUUGGAAUAAAACAAAAUGAUGAAAUAUAUUUAGGCUGUAAUUUUAUAAUUUGUAAUUGUAAGGAUCUUUUUGAAAAGAGGUACGUUCUAAAAAGAAUUUCUAGGGCCGGGGAUUUAGGUCAGUGGUUUCACCACCCGCUGCACAAGUGCAAGGACCCGAGUUUGAUCCCCGGUAUCAAAAAAAAAAAAAAAAUUAAAAAAUUGAAAACGUAGGAAAGUUAUUUAUAAGAAAUAGCUAUCAAGAGAGCUAACAUAUGUGACCAGUAUUUACAUGCAUGCACACACACACACACACACACAUUUAUCUGCUGCAGAUCUAGGCCAGAAAACGUGCACACACACAACAUCACACACCCUAUC
rnacentral:lncRNA from 1 species